rnacentral:lncRNA from 1 species
UGUAUUUAAAUGCAUCCAUCUAUCCCACGUUUACAUCGGUAGUCCCUUUUCCCCAAAGUCCAGACUUGGACAUCCAACCACACACUUGGCAAACCCACUGGAAUGAAGGAAAUGCAUGUCUCCCUCAUCAUCACAUCCGGCAUUUUUUCCAAACUGGCUCUACCUACUGUUCCCUCUUGCAGUAUAGAGCAACUCCUUCCAUCCAGGUGCCCUGGCCAAAAAUGCUGAAGACACCCUUGACUCCUCGCUACCUCUUUCAUACCCUACCUCCAACCAUCCACACAUCCUUUUGGAUCUACCUUCUAUCUAGCAUGACUCCUUAUCUUCACCAGCACUGCUUCUCUGACUUUAUCACUUUUCUCUGUGCAGCCACAGAGGCUUCCUUGCUGGUCCUCAAAGUAGCCAUGCCUCAGGGCCUUUGCACCUACUGUCCCCUCUUCUUAACAUCCUCAGAUAUCCACACGGCUUAUUCCCUUGCUCCUUGUGGGCCUUUGCUCAAUUACCACCUCUGCAGAGAAGCCAUUCCUGACCAUGUCUGGUGCUCUUUGUUCCACUUACCUUCCUUUAUUUUUCCACAUGGCACCCAUCACUUAUUGUCACUAUAUAUAUAUAUAUAUAUAUAUAUAUAUAUAUAUAUAAUCUGUCUCACAUACUCUUGAGCACAGGGAUUUUGUUUGUCCUGUAUCACAAGCUGUAAACUAUGUGGUUCGGGACACGCCCUCUGAAGGCGCAGGGAGGUACAUGACCUUGGCUGAGCUCACACAGCCAAGGCAGCAGAAGAACCAAGACUUUUGACUCCCACCCCAUUCUCCACCUCCUUCAAAUCACAUAACAACUAGGGAUUUUCAGCCUCCAUGUUUCAUUUUAAUCCAAUUCUACCUGGAGUCCUUUAAUGUAUACCUGUGUGGGCAAUUAUAGAAGGGUACUGCAGGGCUUGGAGAGUUAGGGUCACUGAGUUGACUCAGCUGUCUGCUGCUGCUUCUUACUGAAUGCUGCUGUUUAACGCGGAAGCCGCAGGCCAGCCCCUCGCCUCCCCCCACGAGGGUGGCCAGGCUGGACUGGGCAGAAGCCCGUGGGGUCCGGUCUUUCACCCUUCCUCCCCGACUGGGGAACCGCGCUCCGGAUCAACCCCGCCUCCUUCCAGUUCUAGCUGUAAACGCCGCCCAAAGCCAGGGGCCUCCAGGCCGGGGGUGCUAAAUUCAGUUUCCAAAAUGGAAUCAGAAAAAUCUCCUCGCAGGAGGGGGCAGCCUGGCGAAAGUCUGUGGAAGUGCGGCGGGCGGCGUGCUGCCUCGCUGCGGGCCUCGCACCGCUUGUCUGGCACUAGUGACCAUCCGGGCCGCGCCAAGCGGCCAGCGGGACGGCGGGUCCCCGCUGACCUCGGACUAUCUGCACGCCGGCAGGAGCCUCUUCACAAGGGCUUUCGUGGCCCUGCGUUGGCAGCGAACAGUCUCAGGUUCCAAAAAUCCUCACAAAGAAAAUUAUUAAUCAGAAGACUGUUUGGUGGAC